rnacentral:lncRNA from 1 species
UGAAAUUUUGGAAGAAUCACCUUCGGAUAGAAGUGAUUUGGAUUGAUAUCAAUGUGAAUCCACUUGGUUCUUCCUCCUCUUGCUUGUAGUGAUCAUUUGAGAUGAAAAUGGCAAUGAAUUCUUGGAGUUUGAAUCCCAAAACAGAAGGAGAAACUCAAACUCGAUUUCAAAAAAAUCUUCAAGGAGUUCUAUGGAGUAGGGUUCUGAGUUUGCUUGGCAAUUCUUGGGCAAUGUGUGUGUAUCAUUUCUGAAGCAAUGCACUUGUAUUUAUAGGCUAUGGAAUUC